AGAGUUUGAUCCUGGCUCAGGAUGAACGCUAGCUACAGGCUUAACACAUGCAAGUCGAGGGGCAGCAUGAACAAAGCUUGCUUUGUUUGAUGGCGACCGGCGCACGGGUGCGUAACACGUAUCCAAUCUGCCCGCGGCUCGGGGAUAGCCCAUCGAAAGAUGGAUUAAUACCCGAUGGUGUGGUUUCUCCGCAUGGAGUUUCCACUAAAGGUUUUCCGGCCGCGGAUGAGGAUGCGUAUGAUUAGGUAGUAGGCGGGGUAACGGCCCACCUAGCCUUCGAUCAUUAGGGGUUCUGAGAGGAAGGUCCCCCACACUGGAACUGAGACACGGUCCAGACUCCUACGGGAGGCAGCAGUGAGGAAUAUUGGUCAAUGGGCGAGAGCCUGAACCAGCCAAGUAGCGUGAAGGAUGACUGCCCUAUGGGUUGUAAACUUCUUUUGUUCGGGAAUAAAGUGCAGUAUGUAUACUGUUUUGUAUGUACCGUUCGAAUAAGCAUCGGCUAAUUCCGUGCCAGCAGCCGCGGU
rnacentral:rRNA from 1 species